GCAGCGUUCUGACAGAAGUCUGAGUUAUGGCUGACACCUGGAGGCCGAGGGAGGAGAAAGAGAAAUCAAUGCUUCUGAUAGCUCGGGGACAAAAGCUAGUCCGGAGUCACUGAAAGACCUCUCACCUCCAGGCCGGAACAGGACAGGCACCACCCAAGCAACAACAUGACAGCUCGAGCCAGCAGACAGUUAAAAGACUGGCCUACAAAGCAGGACCUCCAUACGAUUGCCUAAACCAGACACAGGCCUCCUUCUUCCUGGCCAGGGCUUCGAUACCCCCGGUCAACCAGUUCUUGUAACCGUUACAGAGGCUCUCCCUGAGCGCUGGUGGAGAGGUUUUCCAGGAUUUAGCCCCUGUAACAAUGAAGAAGGCUGAUACGUCUACAGUCAGAAAGAUGCCGCCUGACCUGCUGAAUUCCUCCGGUAUUGUGAGUGUGUUACUCUGUAACUGCAACACCACGUCCUGCCGGAGGGUCUCGACCCGAAACGUCGACUACUCUUUUCCAUAGGCGCUGCCUGUCCUGCUGAGUUCCUCCAGCAUUGUGUGUGUGUUACUAUAUUCUACAUGCUGUUAUUGCUUUGCCCUUGUGCUACCCUGAUGCACUGUCGUGAUGAAAUCACGUGGCAGCAGCUCAAUGCACAAAAGCAUGAAGAAAUGGUCAAGAGGUUCAGACCAAACAUCAGAACAGACCAGACUAUGUAACAGUUUCUUCCCCCAAGCCAUCAGACUCCUCAAUACCCAGAGUCUGGACUGACACCAACUUACUGCCCUCUACUGUGCCUAUUGUCUUGUCUAUUAUUUAUUGUAAUGCCUGCACUGUUUUGUGCACUUUAUGCAGUCCUGGGUAGGUCUGUAGUCCAGUGUAGUUUUUUCUAUGUUGUUUUUAAGUAGUUCAGUGUAGUUUUUGUACUGUUUCAUGUA